AUGAAGAUAGCCAACGCCCUGCUACUCCUGCUCUCCCUCGCUCUCGUGGUGCUACUACCAUCAUCAGGCACACGCAAGGCGCCUGUAGUAGAAGGUGGCGCGGUGGUGGUGCCAACGGCCGACUGCUCGGUGACAACGAUCGGGCUGGGCAAGAAGUGCGAGGCCCGGAAGUGCGAGGCGGAGUGCCGGAGGGAGCAUGAUGGGAUGGGCGCGUGCGCCGCCAUGGGGUGCAGUUGUGCCGUCUGCGCCAAGUAUCCUCCCUCCGGCAAUGUAUUCAAACGAUGUUUGUAA
rnacentral:rRNA from 1 species